CAGUAGCCGCGGGAAAACGUAGGGUGCAAGCGUUAAUCGGAAUUACUGGGCGUAAAGCGUGCGCAGGCGGUUAUAUAAGACAGAUGUGAAAUCCCCGGGCUCAACCUGGGAACUGCAUUUGUGACUGCAUGACUAGAGUACGGCAGAGGGGGAUGGAAUUCCGCGUGUAGCAGUGAAAUGCGUAGAUAUGCGGAGGAACACCGAUGGCGAAGGCAAUCCCCUGGGCCUGUACUGACGCUCAUGCACGAAAGCGUGGGGAGCAAACAGGAUUAGAUACCCGAGUAGUCCCUGUCUCUUAUAC
rnacentral:rRNA from 1 species